rnacentral:sRNA from 1 species
CGGGCAUUCCGGAACUGCUCAACAAACUUCGCCAGGCCCCCGAUUUCUAUGUGGAGAUGAAGUGGGAGUUCACCAGCUGGGGUGAGUGGGGACCUCUGGGCUCCCAGGGAUUUGGGGUGGGGCCUUUGGAAAGACCCGCAGUGACCCCUGUGCACCCUGCAGUGCCCCUUGUGUCUAAGAUGUGCCCGAGCGAUGUGUACCGCGUGUGGAAGCGGGGUGAGAGCCUGCGAGUAGACACCAGUCUCCUGGGCUUCGAGCACAUGACCUGGCAGCGGGGCCGGAGGAGCUUCAUCUUCAAGGGCCAGGAGGCAGGAGCCCUGGUGAUGGAGGUGGACCAUGACCGGCAGGUGGUGCAUGUGGAGACGCUGGGGCUCGCUCUGCAGGAGCCCGAAGCACUGCUGGCCGCCAUGCGGCCCAGCGAGGAGCAUGUGGCCAGUCGCCUCACCUCUCCUAUCGUUUCCACCCACCUGGACACUCGUAAUGUGGCCUU